GAAAUCAGAUUCACUUUCUACACAGAGACCUCUACAACACAGAGAUCAAGCCAUGGAGCCUACAAUCACUUCAGCUAUAAUCUACUCUAAGGAGCACCUGAAUCUGACCAAUAAACUAAGAAAGCCAGUGGUGGAAAAGUUACGCAGAGAUUGUAUCAACAGCAGCAUUGAGCAGCUCAAGUCUCUCCUUGGUCCAGAGAUCCUCAACCAGCAGUCUGACUCCAAGCUGGAGAAAGCUGACAUCCUGGAGAUGAGAGUUUUCUUCCUGAGAUGACAGUACCCGCCAGUGAGCUCAUCAUCCUGCUCAGCACGAGCCAAUUAGGGUUACUCCUUCUCUGUGUCCCAGUGUAGACUGCUGAGUCACUUCCAGAUACUAAGAAGAGAAGGGAGAGUGACCUGCCACAGAUGAGCUCCCCAGACAAACACAAUGGACCAUGUUGGUCUUAGAUUAAUGUCAUGGACAGUAACGCGAAUAGGAAGACAUCUUCUUCAUCUUCUGCUUAUGUCGAUUUUUUUAAGUACAGCUGUGAUUGAGACUUUUAAAUUCAGUUGUACUGGACAAGUUGACAUGUUUUUCGAAAGAAAUGAUCCAAUUGAUGAGCACUACAUUUUUGUAAUAUAUUUUAAACAUGUGUUGAUUACAAUAAUCAACAAUAACUUGAAUAUCCCUCCAUGAGGACUUUUAUCCCAAAAUGGGUGUUAUAUCACCAAUCUGUCUGUGAAUGUUUAUGACUUAUAUUUUUUAAGGGGAACGUAUAAGAGAGAAAAAACAUGUUUGCUUUGUUGCCAAUACAUUUGUGUAGUGAUAUGGUCAUAUUGACGUUAUAUUGCGCAUCUUCUGUAAAAAAAAAAACAUGUGUACUAGUCCUGUAUUACCGGACCGAUAAAGCCGUCUGUAGCGCGAGGAAAAUAAAUAAAUCAGCGCCCACCCCUCAAACAGCUAUCUGUAUCAGUUAUCUAUUUCAUAUUGAUCAACUUGAGCUGCAGCAUCACUAUUCCUCCAUGACACAUUUUUACCCAAACUGGGUAUUACACAGUACCUGUUAUCAUCACUCUGUGAUUAUCGAUAUUUGAUCUGUUUUAAGAUCAGACUUAAUGUGUGAACACUUUGUGUGAAAAUGAGGCUCACAUGAUUUGAAUAAUAUGCACGUUGCAGAUGGUGAAAACUUCACGCUCAUUGUAAAACCUUGUGUUUAUUUUGGUACAAUAUGUUGUCUUUUAUAAAGACAGUAACUGUAUAUCCUUUGUCUUGUUGUUUAAUCACUUUAUUUAUAUUUAAAUAUGUACCUUAAAUUAAGGUAUUUAAUGAUAUGAAUUACUGAGUCAAUCUGAAUAAAUACACAAAUCAUUAAAUUAAA